rnacentral:rRNA from 2 species
UGAGCCAAGUUUAGGGUUUUCUCAAAACCCAAAGAUGUUUGAACUGAAGAGUUUGAUCAUGGCUCAGAUUGAACGCUGGCGGCAGGCCUAACACAUGCAAGUCGA